AAGUGUAUUUUUCUAGGGGUUUUUUUUAGUAUCAUUUAACUUGAUUCUAUCAAGUACAGAAUUAGGAUGAGUUUAUAUAAAGUACUAAUUCUACUUUGUCAUGACAUUUCUGAAGUAAGAUUUAUGAAGAGAGGCAGUAUCUUUUAUUUAACUGAAUCACAUACACUAGGCAUCUAUGUGACCUAGGAAGGAUCUAAUAAAUAUAUAUGUUUAUUUAAAUUCUCUUUCAGAAUUUCAACCGAAAUCCAGACAAAUAUCAUGAAAUGGAAUAACCGCUGACCUUUUAGUUCUCACUGCAACAGCAACACAAGGAGCACAGCAGAGAUGUUCUUGCUGCAUUUGCUGGGAAUUGCUGUUGGAUCGUCUCCUGGAGGAUGAAGCACACACAUACUGCUGCAUGAGCUGUUCCAUGCAGACACUUUGAAUCUGACUUCAAGAAGAAGACAACAUGAAUGGAAAAGCUUUCAUGAUGUGCAAAACCCCAUCAGCAGUCUUCCUGCCACUCAGCUCUGAAGAGAGCGAGAUAUGAAGUGACGUGCCCAAGGUCACACAAAAAGGCACAGCUGGGAGCAGAGAACAACUCCAUUAUCUCCUGGUCCACCCUUUCACCAUAAAAUGAUUGUUCUUACAUUGAAGUAGGAGACACAGGAACCGCAAGGUUGCACCGACCCUGUCUGAUGGGAUAUAAAAUGGAGAUCUCUUCUGAACAAGGUAGCUGGAGGCUGAAUCAGACAGAAUAUGAGUUUCCACAUUUUGGUGAAGAAAUGAGUGAACAGGUAAAAAUAAGUCAUGAUCCAUGAGUAAAUUUUUUCAUUUUAGCAACAUGAAUGAAGCUGUAAAGUCUAUGUGUAGUUCCAUGCAUGUCUGUUGAGCCUUCUCCCAGUGCACCCAUGAGCUUUCUGGGGUGAGAGCAAAUUAAAAAGACAUGUCAGUAAUUCGAGGCUAAGUCUUAGGAAUCAUCCUUCUCACACAAUCUCUGCAUUGGAGAGAGCAUUAUAGAUAGCAAAGCAACAAACUACACUUGUGGCUAAAAGUAGUCUCCUAGUGGGUCUGGGAUGAGCAGAAGGACCCAUCACUGGCUUGAUCUUGCAUGCUGGCUUUCACUAUGACUUCUAUAUUCUGAAAACCACUUGGUUCUGCCUUUAAAAAAAAGGCUUUCAAAGCCUCUUUAAUAGUAGUUACAAUGGAGGGUUUAAGGUUAAGCAUGUAUUGAGUAAAAAAAGCAUGGCUGGAGUCAGUUCCCUGUUUGAAUGACUACCUUAGAAUGCUAGAUUCACGUUUUCGAGUCUCCAAAUAAUAGAUGAUAGAGUCCUCUUGCUUGCUUGAUUUCUUUUUUUUAAUUUUCCUCUUCUAUCAGUAACUAUAAUAUUAUUGUUCACAGUAUGAACAUCAGUGAGAAAUAAACUACAGUCAUGCACAAUUUAAUCCAAUGCUAAAAGGUCAGGCAUGAUACGCACAAAGGAAAUUUUGUCAAUUAGAAAAUGAGGUAUUUGUCAGAUGUACUAUUUUGCAAUACACCAGCCACUUUGUUAGUAAAAGAAAUUGCUUGUGACUGGAGGCAUGAUGUCAAACUGCAUGGAUCAGUGAUCUAAUCCUGAAUGAUAAAAUAUUUGUUUGCAAACAGAAAUGUGCAGAUAACAAAUGCUGCAUUUUUUGUAAUGUUUGUACAUGCCUCUCUCUGCAUUUCAAGCUUUUCAGUUUAAGAACACAUAGCUCACCAAACGGAACAUAUCCCUAAGAGGAGGAAAGGGAGGGAUGCUGCUACACAUGUAACUCUGAAGUCUAAUGUUAUGUUAGCCUGUCCUGCUUGGCGUAGAGGUUGGACUAGAUGACCAAACCUAUCAUCUGUAAUUCUAGGGAAGAGAUUUUGACAACACACUUAACCACAGUAGUAAAGCUCAAGGAAUCUCCAAAGUCAUUAGAACCGUAAGUCAUUAAGGCAUCACACACCAGCAGGUGUUGGCCUGCACUCCCUGUCACCCUCCAUAAAGAACUUCCCCUGCAGUGGCAAGGUUUGGCAGCACCUGCCUGUUUGCAAAGUUGCUUUGUACUUAAAAAGUCAAAUGUCGUAUGGUUGAUUGUCAUUUAACUAAUUGGGGUUUAGCUGAGUCCCUCUAUGAAAUUCAACUUUACUUUCAAGUUCUGCUCAUAACCAAAAGCCAGGAGACUUUUUAGUGGUUCUGGUGAAACCAGCAGCAAAAUUUCUACUGACAGUAAUAGGACAAGAACUUGGCCCCUAUCCUUUUGGAUGAUGCCCAGCCCCACUUUAUUUGACUUUCAAUGUCAUUUGCCUUCCUGGCUUAAGCAUGCAUUAUAUUUUAAGUCAUUGACCAAUAGGACUGGGAUGCUGAAGUAACCAAUGAGUCAGCAUGCUAUGGAACAUUUGUACUCAGCAAUUUUAUUGAAAAGAGAUAUUAAAAAAUGACACUAAAUGAACAUUAAUGUUCCUUGGAGGCACUUGGAAGUAAGGAAAUGCCAAGCUUAAAGCUGUUAUGUGAAGUUAGCCCUGUGUCCAAACUUUGGUACAGCAUUCAACUAAACCAUAGCCUAGAAUUUGUAUACUAUCUUUUCCACAGGACCUCUGACUGACUCAUCCCAAGGGAAACUAGCAAAGCAAUAUGGAAAAUGUUACCCUGUAUAACUACAGAAAAGCUGAAAGACAAAAAGAGGAUUUUUGUUCUGGCCAGUGCUGGGCAGGAAAUGAUCAUCAAAGACCCAAGGCCCCAUCCUGCCCUCUUUACACCACACCUGAGUACGCAAGUAGGACAAACAAAUGACAAAACUUAUGAGUACCCACCCCUCUCCCCCAAAAAAUGUUUCUUUUCCAUACUGACACUUAGAUGGAGCAAUUCCAUACCAUAAAAAGGUCCAUUUAGUUUUGAGCCACGGAAACAAUGUGUUAAACCCCAUCCCCACGCCAGUCCCUUGGUUUUUCAGGAGGUCUGAGGUUUAGGGAAGACAGUGUGUUGUGCUAUAUGAUGUUUCCUACCAAGCUGUGGAGUGUUAUGGGCCCUUACAUCCCAGAAUACCCAUGGAAGCAGAGCAGAGUUCAGGAGACCCAGAGACUUGUGUUUCCCAAGUUACAGUUCUUAGCAUUAAUUUACAUCAAUGCAUGGAACAAAUUUAAAAUUAAGUGCUCAGAAAACAAAAACAGAAUUGCUCACAGUCAGGUAUGUCAGUGUAUUUAAAUUUGAAAAUGUCUACAGAAAAGCACCUGUUCCAAGAAAAUCUUCACUUUUAUAUGAAACAGAAUGAAACAAAAGCCCUUUCCUUAGAAUGGGAAUUCCAGAUUUCAUUCAGAUCAGUAACCAUCAUUCCUCAUCCAGCUGCAAGCCACACACAGGUCACCAAGUAAUUGUAUUACCAUAUUAGCACUGUGUUUGGAACAAGGAUAUCUGCCUUUUAAAGAAAAUCUGCUGCCAAAUAGGUAAAUAUUGAAAUGGUAACAAGAACAUUUUAAUUUAAGAGAAUUUACACUAUUCUUCACACACAUGACCCUUGAGGAAAGAGAAAAUACAGUUGAGCUAUACUUGAACUAAACAGUAAAACCUUAGAAAAAGAAAAGGAAGUGGAGAAGAUAAAUUGAGAUAUAUAAACAUCUGUCUGUUCAUGGCUGGAGAUUAUUAUAUGCUGCAGACUAUAUAUACUUUUUUUUUUUUAUAGGGAAACAAAGAAAAAGAUUAUAAAAUUAAUGUGGCAAACUGACAGAUUUCCUAGUAAAGUAAACCAAAAUUUAUUUCAGUCAACUCAUAAUUUACAAAUGCUACUGUCCAUUUAUGUUUGUCUUUUCCUCUAUGUUUUACAAUGUAUUUUGAAAACAUUACUAAGGCCUCUCUGAAUCAUGUUGAGGUUCUGACAUCUAAGAAAUUUUUAAACACAGAGAAAUUUCACUGACAAAUGUUCAAAUUGAUUCACCAAGCUGGGAAUCCUGUGUCCUGUCAAAAUAGGAUGUUUCUUUAAAACAACAGUACUUUGUUAGAAUAAAAAGAUAAUUUUCUUUUUCUAAAAACAUCCAAGUGACAGACAUUAAGAGCAAUGUAUAGCUAAUCAGUGAGAGCAAAUAGACUGGACACCCUUAAGGUUAAAGACGUUUUAGUUUCUUCUUCCAGCAACAGCAUGCCAGUUGUGAAAAUAAAGGUGCUGUUUGAGACAUUUUAAGAGGAGGCUUUGUAAUGGCUGUUUGCAGGGUGGUAAAUCUUUCCUGCAAAAUGAACAUGCGGAGGAAUUCCACGGAUUUUUGGGGUUUUAUCUCUUUGCUGCCUGCCUCUACCUGUCAGCCUCUUACCUAGCUGCUAGGGCUGAAGGUUCAUCAUGCAUGUCUUUUUAUUUAUUUAUUUAUUUUCAUUCAGGCUAAUAAUGAGAAAACUCUCCCUCUCCAAACAACCCAGAAAUAUACAUCUUGUUAUGCACCACUGUGCUUCUAUUAAGACUUAUGCUUGCUUAAACAACAGAUCAUUGAAUUUGCCAUUGUUUUCAUAGUUCAAAAAAAUCAAACAGGCAAAUGCAAUGACUCCACGUGGCAUCUUGGGAAAUGGGCACCAGCAGUCACUCCAAGCUGGCUACAUGAGCAAUAAAGGCACAGUUUGUAUUGGUCCUGCAUCAUCUCUGGAGCUGCACACGUGCUCAGUACAGAUUGCAGCCAAUUGAGUGCAUCUGUGCACCUUUCUCCUGGUACCCCAGCCAGCCUGCUGUACCAGGAGCUGAAAGCUGAUGGCAUGCCUUGAGAAGCCACCCCUCACACUGGAAGGUUUUUACUAUAUCCUAGCACCAAUGGAGAAAUCCAGUUCAAAUUACUGAAAACAAAUUUAUUUCUGCUCUGUUGCUUGAAUGCUCAAAUGCUUGUCUGAGCCCAUGCUAAAUGACAACAACAAAAAACCCCAAAUUUUUCCACAUUAGGUCCAAAAGCCACUGUGCAAUUGAGGUUCUCAUAGCUGACAAAUGCCUAAACCAAUCAUAGCACCUACUGCUAUGACAAAGAUAAUUACUGCCUUUCCGUCGGUGAAGUGUGUACCCUGCUCUGUAUCAUAUUUAAAAUAAUCUAAUUCCAGCUCAUUUUCCUCCUCCAAAUUGUUUCCAGCUGUACAAUUCCUUUUUUCCCCCAUAUUGUUUUUAUUGGAUAUAGUGCAAGUUCGUAAAGAUAGAUUUUCCCAUAAUAAAUACACAGAUGUUAGAAUAAUAAACAUACAGUCAACCUGAUAUAUGAAUAUUACUAAGCCUUAACAAACAUAUAACAAACAACAUAAAUUGAUUUUAAAAAAUUGAAAAUGAGAACAUAAAGUAGCAGAGAAAGAAAUGGCAGGAGAAAAUAAAGGCAAAAAAGUGAGCUAGAAAUGAACUUACUUUAGCAAACUGUCUGGAUUCAUUUAUGGCUCCCUUUAUUGACUUGCUGAUAGCAUUAAAGCACAGCUAUGGUUGUAAAGCAUUCCUAAGAAUGCCGCCUGUCUUCAUGCAUCGCGAGUUUCUGCUCCCACUGAAAGCCAAGCUUUCCAAGCUGGCCAACUUAUACCACACUAGACACUACUGUGCUAGAUUAAUCCAUCUGCUUGGACCCAAAUAUCCAUUUUUGGAGAAUAAUGAGCCUCUCUACUCCUCCCAUUUUUGGUAGGAAGCUUUUAUGAACAUUUGGCAUCUCAGUGAAACCAUCAUCAUAGCCCAGAAUAAAAAUUACUGGUUUCAUAUGUGGAAUCCAAAUUUAAUUAAGCCUAUAUAUGGCCUGAACAAAGAAUAAUUUACUGGCUGACACCCCCUCAGCAUGUAUGAUAAGAUGCCAACUGCUCCUCCAUGACACCGUCACUUAGAUAUGUUUCAUGCCCAAUUCCAAAGUUUUUUCAGGCCUGCUGCUGAAACAUGGGAUCAAGAGAGGACUGACAAUGUUACCUGUUUCCAGUACAAAGAGAGCAAGAAUCACAGUUGUUUAUGAGUAUCUCUCCUUCAGAAGUUGUCCCCCUCCCCUUCCCAGUCUUCUGUUUGGAAUUAUCGUUUUCCCAGUUUAUGUGUGCACAUGUACAAGUGCAUGUAGAGAACUGUGACAUUGAAGUUUAUGUUCUGAUUGUGUUUGCCAAAAGUCUUCUUCACCUGGGAGUUAAUAAAAUCCAUGCACAGAUUUUGUUUCUUGCUUAAACUGUAGGGGUUUUCUCCUAUCUCUCCCCCUUUCUGCCUGGAGAGUGGAACAAAAGUUAAGUGAAUGGGAAGAGACAGGAAACUUCCUAAAAUGCUCUUCUCCUAAACCUCCCCUGGCAAGCAGAGCUGUAACUUCCUUUCAGAUGCAUCCUUUCAACACACCAGAAAACUACAGAUCAAAACAAAGGGUAAGGCA